rnacentral:rRNA from 1 species
GAGGAAUAUUGCGCAAUGGACGAAAGUCUGACGCAGCCAUGCCGCGUGAAGGAUUGAAGGCCCUAUGGGUUGUAAACUUCUUUUGUACGGGAAUAAACCCUCGCUCGUGAGCGAGGCUGAAGGUACCGUAAGAAUAAGCACCGGCUAACUCCGUGCCAGCAGCCGCGGUAAUACGGAGGGUGCAAGCGUUAUCCGGAUUUAUUGGGUUUAAAGGGUCCGUAGGCGGAUCGUUAAGUCAGUGGUGAAAGCCUACCGCUCAACGGUAGAACUGCCAUUGAUACUGGCGAUCUUGAAUAUGUAUGAAGUUGGCGGAAUGUGUGGUGUAGCGGUGAAAUGCUUAGAUAUCACACAGAACACCGAUUGCGAAGGCAGCUGACUAAUACAUGAUUGACGCUGAGGGACGAAAGUGUGGGGAUCAAAC